CUUUUCACAUUCAGCUUUAAAUGAAAUUUAAGAAUUACACCUUUCUUUUUUUGUAAGAAUCCGUUUUAUUUUUAGUCCACUCCGCCAGAGUGGGAAAGAGUGGCAGCCCGCCGCGCUGCUCAGCCCUGGGGGCCCUUCCUCACUCAGACGGCCGACCGCCAGAGUGGGUCAAAGUGGCAACCCGCCGUGCAGCUCAGCCCUGGGGGCCCCAACCUGACUCAGGUGGCAGACCGCCAGAGUGGGUCGAAGUGUCAGCCCGCCUUGCUGCUCAGCCCUGGGGUCCCUCACCCCACUCAGGCGCCCGACCGACAGAGUGUGUCAAAGUGGCAGCACGACACGCUGCUCAGUCCUGGGGGCCCCAGCCCCACUCAGGCGGCCGACCGACAGAGUGGGUCAAAGUGUCGGCCCGCCGCGCUGCUCAGCCCUGGGGGCCCCACCCCCACUCAGGCGACAGACCGCCAGAGUGGGAAAAAGGGGCAGCCCGCUGCGCUUCUCAGCCCUGGAGGACCCCCCCCCCCGCCACCACUCAGGCGACCGACCGCCAGAUGGGUCAAAGUGUCAGCCCGCCCUGCUGCUCAGCCCUGGGGACCCCACCCCCACUCAGGCGGCCGACGCCCAGAGUGGGAAAAAGUCGAAGCCCACUGCGCUGCUCAGCCCUGUCGGCCACCCCUGACUCAGGCGGGCGACCGCCAGAGUGGGUCAAAGUGGCAGCCCGCCUUGCUGUCCAGCCCUGGGGUCCCUCACCCCACUCAGGCGCCCGACCGCCAGUGUGUGUCAAAGUGGCAGCACGCCACGCUGCUCAGUCCUGGGGGCCCCAGCCCCACUCAGGCGGCCGACCGCCAGAGUGGGUCAAAGUGGCAGCCCGGCGCAGCUCAGCCCUUGGGGCCGCACCCUGACUCUGACGGCAGAUCGCCUGAGUGGGUCAAAGUGGCAGCCCGCCUCGCUGCUCAGCCCUGGGUGACCUCCCCACCCACUCAGGCAACGGACGGCCAGAGUGGGUCAAAGUGGAAGUCUGCCGCGCUGCUCAGCCCGGGCGGCCCUACCCCGACUCAGGCGGCCGACCGCCAGAGUGGGUCAAAGUGGCAGCCCGCCGCGCUGCUCAGCCCUGGGGGCCCUUCCACCACUCAGAGGGCCGACCGCCAGAGUGGUUCAAAGUGGCAGCCCGCUGCGCUGCUCAGCCCUGGGGGCCCUUUCCCCACUCAGGCGGCCGACCGCCAGAGUGGGUCAAAGUGGGAGUCCGCCGGGCUGCUCAGCCCUGGGGGCCCUCCCCACCCACUCAGGCGGCCGACCCCCAGAGUGGGUCAAAGUCCCAACCCGCACUGCAGCUCAGCACUUGGGGCCCCACCCCGACUCAGGCGGCACACUGCCAGAGUGGGUCAAAUUGGCAGCACUCCGCGCUGCUCAGCCCGGGAGGGCCCACCCCCAAUCAGGCGGCUGACAGCCAGAUUGGGUCAAAGUGGCAGCCAGCCGUGCUGCUCAGCCGUGGGGUCCCCUGCCCCACUCAGGCGGCAGACCGCCAGAGUGGGAAAAAGUGGCAGCCCGCCUCACUGCUCAGCCCUGGCGGCCACCCCCCACUCAGGCGGCCGACCGCCAGUGUGGGUCAAAGUGGCAGCCCGCCACGCUGCUCAGCCCUGCGGGCCCUUCCUCCACUCAGACGGCCGACCGCCAGAGUGGGUCAAAGUGGCAACUCGCCGUGCAGCUCAGCCCUGGGGGCCCCAACCUGACUCAGGUGGCAGACCGCCAGAGUGGGUCGAAGUGUCAGCCCGCCUUGCUGCUCAGCCCUGGGGUCCCUCACCCCACUCAGGCGCCCGACCGCCAGAGUGUGUCAAAGUGGCAGCACGCCACGCUGCUCAGUCCUGGGGGCCCCAGCCCCACUCAGGCGGCCGACCGCCAGAGUGGGUCAAAGUGGCAGCCCGCCGCGCUGCUCAGCCCUGGGGGCCCUACCCCGACUCAGGCUGCUGACCCCCAGAGAGGGUCAAAGUGGCAACUCGCACUGCAGC
rnacentral:lncRNA from 1 species